rnacentral:rRNA from 1 species
CGUAAAGCACGUUCAGCGUGAGAGGUAGUGUAGUAUUAGCUUGACAGUUAUUUGACGUUAGCGACGAGAAGAAGCACCGGCUAACUACCGUGCCAGCAGCCGCGGUAAUACGGAGGGUGCGAGCGUUAAUCGGAAUUACUGGGCGUAAAGCGCAUGCAGGUGGUUUGUUAAGUCAGAUGUGAAAGCCCGGGGCUCAACCUCGGAAUAGCAUUUGAAACUGGCAGACUAGAGUACUGUAGAGGGGGGUAGGAAUUUCAGGUGUAGCGGUGAAAUGCGUAGAGAUCUGAAGGAAUACCGGUGGCGAAGGCGGCCCCCCUGGACAGAUACUGACACUCAGAUGCGAAAGCGUGGGGAGCAAACAGGAUUAGAUACCCCUGGUAG